rnacentral:rRNA from 1 species
GACGAACGCUGGCGGCGUGCUUAACACAUGCAAGUCGAACGGAAAGGCCCUGCUUUUGUGGGGUGCUCGAGUGGCGAACGGGUGAGUAACAUGUGAGUAACCUGCCCUUGACUUUGGGAUAACUUCAGGAAACCGGGGCUAAUACCGGAUAGGAGCUCCUGCUGCAUGGUGGGGGUUGGAAAGCUUCGGCGGUUGGGGAUGGACGCGCGGCUAAUCAGCUUGUUGGUGGGGUAUUGGCUUACCAAGGCUUUGGCGGGUAGCCGGCAUGAGAGGGUGGACGGCCACCUUGGGACUGAGAUAGGGCCCAGACUCCUACGGGAGGCAGCAGUGGGGAAUAUUGCACAAUGAGCGGAAGCCUGAUGCGGCAGCGCCGCGUGCGGGAUGACGGCCUUCGGGUUGUAAACCGCUUUCGCCUGUGACGAAGCGUGAGUGACGGUAAUGGGUGAAGAAGCACCGGCUAACUACGUG